rnacentral:tRNA from 1 species
AUUUAAGAAGUUUAUAAACGUUUCUUUUUCAAGGAAAAAAAGAAGUAAUACUUACUUCCUUAAAUA